rnacentral:rRNA from 1 species
CCUACGGGAGGCUGCAGUGGGGAAUUUUGGACAAUGGGGGCAACCCUGAUCCAGCCAUGCCGCGUGCAGGAUGAAGGCCUUCGGGUUGUAAACUGCUUUUGUACGGAACGAAAAGACUCUGGUUAAUACCUGGGGUCCAUGACGGUACCGUAAGAAUAAGCACCGGCUAACUACGUGCCAGCAGCCGCGGUAAUACGUAGGGUGCAAGCGUUAAUCGGAAUUACUGGGCGUAAAGCGUGCGCAGGCGGUGAUGUAAGACAGAGGUGAAAUCCCCGGGCUCAACCUGGGAACUGCCUUUGUGACUGCAUCGCUGGAGUGCGGCAGAGGGGGAUGGAAUUCCGCGUGUAGCAGUGAAAUGCGUAGAUAUGCGGAGGAACACCGAUGGCGAAGGCAAUCCCCUGGGCCUGCACUGACGCUCAUGCACGAAAGCGUGGGGAGCAAACAGGAUUAGAUACCCCUGUAGUC